rnacentral:rRNA from 1 species
GACGAACGCUGGCGGCGGGCUUAACACAUGCAAGUCGAACGGAAAGGCCCUGCUUUUGUGGGGUGCUCGAGUGGCGAACGGGUGAGUAACACGUGAGUAACCUGCCCUUGACGUGGGGAUAACUUCAGGAAACUGGGGCUAAUACCGGAUAGGAGCUCCUGCUGCAUGGUGGGGGUUGGAAAGUUUCGGCGGUUGGGGAUGGACGCGCGGCUUAUCAGCUUGUUGGUGGGGUAGUGGCUUACCAAGGCUUUGACGGGUAGCCGGCCUGAGAGGGUGACCGGCCACAUUGGGACUGAGAUACGGCGCAGACUCCUACGGGAGGCAGCAGUGGGGAAUAUUGCACAAUGGGCGGAAGCCUGAUGCAGAAACGCCGCGUGCGGGAUGACGGCCUUCGGGUUGUAAACCGCUUUCGCCUGUGACGAAGCGUGAGUGACGGUAAUGGGUAAAGAAGCACCGGCUAACUACGUG